rnacentral:rRNA from 1 species
GUGGCGAACGGGUGAGUAACACGUGGGUGAUCUGCCCUGCACUUCGGGAUAAGCUUGGGAAACUGGGUCUAAUACCGGAUAGGAACCAUCUUUAGNUGUGGUGGUUGGAAAGUUUUUUCGGUGUAGGAUGAGCUCGCGGCCUAUCAGCUUGUUGGUGGGGUAAUGGCCUACCAAGGCGGCGACGGGUAGCCGGCCUGAGAGGGUGUACGGCCACAUUGGGACUGAGAUACGGCCCAGACUCCUACGGGAGGCAGCAGUGGGGAAUAUUGCACAAUGGGCGCAAGCCUGAUGCAGCGGCGCCGCGUGGGGGAUGAAGGCCUUCGGGUUGUAAACUCCUUUCGCUAGGGACGAAGCUUUUUUGUGACGGUACCUAGAUAAGAAGCACCGGCUAACUACGUGCCAGCAGCCGCGGUAAUACGUAGGGUGCGAGCGUUGUCCGGAAUUACUGGGCGUAAAGGGCUCGUAGGUGGUUUGUCGCGUCGUCUGUGAAAUUCUGGGGCUUAACUCCGGGCGUGCAGGCGAUACGGGCAUAACUUGAGUGCUGUAGGGGUAACUGGAAUUCCUGGUGUAGCGGUGAAAUGCGCAGAUAUCAGGAGGAACACCGAUGGCGAAGGCAGGUUACUGGGCAGUUACUGACGCUGAGGAGCGAAAGCAUGGGUAGCGAACAGGAUUAGAUACCCUGGUAGUCCAUGCCGUAAACGGUGGGCGCUAGGUGUGAGGGUCUUUCUACGACUUUCGUGCCGUAGCUAACGCAUUAAGCGCCCCGCCUGGGGAGUACGGCCGCAAGGCUA